GCCGCCAUAGUGCAGUGGCCUAGCACACCUCUCUUUCACGGAGGCAGCACGGGUUCGAAUCCCGUUGGCGGUACCA
rnacentral:tRNA from 1 species